AGUGAACGCUGGCGGUAGGCCUAACACAUGCAAGUCGAACGGCAGCACAGUAAGAGCUUGCUCUUACGGGUGGCGAGUGGCGGACGGGUGAGGAAUACAUCGGAAUCUACUUUUUCGUGGGGGAUAACGUAGGGAAACUUACGCUAAUACCGCAUACGACCUACGGGUGAAAGUAGGGGAUCUUCGGACCUUGCGCGAUUAAAUGAGCCGAUGUCGGAUUAGCUAGUUGGCGGGGUAAAGGCCCACCAAGGCGACGAUCCGUAGCUGGUCUGAGAGGAUGAUCAGCCACACUGGAACUGAGACACGGUCCAGACUCCUACGGGAGGCAGCAGUGGGGAAUAUUGGACAAUGGGCGCAAGCCUGAUCCAGCCAUACCGCGUGGGUGAAGAAGGCCUUCGGGUUGUAAAGCCCUUUUGUUGGGAAAGAAAAGCAGCAGGUUAAUACCCCGCUGUUCUGACGGUACCCAAAGAAUAAGCACCGGCUAACUUCGUG
rnacentral:rRNA from 1 species